ACAGUUAGGACAGUAGAAUUCUAGGGCUAUACACAGUUAAAGUUCAGUCAUAACUUCCAGCUGAUAAAAGAUAUUUGAAUGGGAAUCUAGUCUGAUUGCUUCUUCUGCAUGUAACCUGCUUGAAUCAGAGUCCUAGCAAAAUUUAUCUCCUCUAAACUAAAGAUGGCAAAGGCACGCCAGAUAUUCAAAAUAUGAUAUAUCUAUAUUCUUCAUCACAGAGAUCAGAAAAAGAAAUCUUCAAUAAUUAUUCCAGUGAAAUACGAAGACUCUGAAGAAAUAAAAUAAAAAACACAUCGCCAUUAAGAGUACCAAUAACCUACAGAGAAAUCAGUCCUAAUAACCGCUAAAGAUUUACUCUAUAGCUGACAACAGAUGACCACAAGCAACAUUACUAUAUUUCCAAGAUGUUGAUACCUAUGCCUGCUACUAUUUAUUAUCGCUGUAUUAUGAUUGCCUUUUGCUUCUUGCUUGUAACUACUCUCUUGUCCAUAAUUAUACUUAUUAUUUGGAUUUAGAAGCAUGACACUAGAAAACUGUGAGAAAUAUGUUUUUUUCUCUUUUGAGACAGAUAGACAAUAUAAUUUUGUCACAUAAAUGUGUUGCUUUCAUUUUGGAUGAAAUACAGUAUAUUUCUCACAAUAUGUUGAAAUAGGCAUAAGACAACAGACUAACUUCUUGACUAUAAAUGUAGUUACUGUUAGUUUUACAAGGUACACAGCUGGAGGUAAAAUAA